ACUCGGGGCCCCGGCCGCCGCUCCCGGCGCGGGUCUCGGGCGCGCCCUGCCCGGCGGGGAUGGAGGAAGGGGAGGCGGAGAGCGGUGGGAACCGAGGGCGGGGCGUGCGAGAACCCGGGGCGACCACGGCGGGACGGCAUUGGGGGGCCGGAGGCGGGCAUCGGGAAGCGGGUAGAGCGUUGGGGGCGCUGCAGUGGGAGCUUGGGGCGGCCCCCGGGGCGGGAUUGAGGGGGAGGGGAGGGGAGGCGUUGGCCGCCGGGCUAGCCGCCGGCGGGGCUCCAGGCCGGGACGGUCGGGGAUGGUUCCACAGAGGACCCAGCCGUCUGCCCCGAGCUGGGCGCUGCGCGGCUGCUCCGGGGGAAGCUUGGUGAGGAGGAGUCGGGCCAGCCGGUGAUGCCUGCGCCUCUUGCGCAUGCUGACCCCCUCAAGGAGCGGGGCCAGAGAAUCGCUCCUUUCUGGCAGGGACUGUGGCCGCUUUCGGCCUGGGAAUGAAGCGACGUAGCCUGCUGGGGCUGUGAGAGCCUGUGUCCUGGCCGGGACGGGGAGAAAGAGGACUCCUGGGAUGGAAGGUGCACACCCAGGCAGCUGGAAGCGCUCAGUCACAGCCCGGGGACUCGUCCCCUCUGCGAUACGGAUUCGGAGCUGCUUCUGAAGCAGAAUGGUGUCAGAGGACCCAGAGCUGGCAUUAGGAUACAGGUGCACACAUUCCAGACAGACCUGGGGGUGGCAUCCAGGAGAAGGCUUAUAAGUUCCCUGGAUGGGGCCUCUGUGCCAUGCAACAAGGGACACAAGAACAGGGCUUGGGGUCCAGGCUGGCGGUGGCAUGCCUGCCACCUGCAGACCCUGGUCAGUGCAGGAUGGUGCCUCCAACACGGGCUAGGCUGCCAAGGCUGAGGACACAGGGCCAGCGAGCCUGCCCAGCCACGUGCUGCAGGGGCCUCAGAGACCUGGGCUGCGGUGCCAGGUCUCUAGGCAGUGCCCUCUGUGCCUGCAGGGACUGAUUCUGGCACAGUGACCGCAGAACCUGGGGGGCGGAGCACAUGCCCCCGGAAGGCUGUGAAAUCCCGCCAGUGGCAGUGACAGAGGCGAAUAUGAGGGUCCUCAGAGGAAAAACAAAGAAGAUAGGAGCAGCAGAAAAUGGCCCCCACGAGGAUCUGAGCCAACCUCGCCACCCCUAGGGCUCCCGGCCCUGCUUCCCUGGGAAAGCCUGGCCAUGUGGGUCACCCCUGUGAGCAUACCCUUUCUGAGUGUCUGAUGGCCAGUUUGCCAGGUGAGCUUCAGGUGCAUGUGGGGCAAAGCAAGGGUGGGGAAGGGAGGAGACCGGGCCUGAGCAGUCACUCCCUCUCGGGGCCUCGGUUUCCCCAUCUGAGACCCAUCCAACUCCAGCGAGUGGUGGCUUUUCUCCAAGGCAUGAUGUCCUGUGUGGGAGCCCUGGCCCCUGGUUCUGCUUUUCCACUAGGUGUGACUGGUCUCACAUCCUUCCCCAUCCAUAGGACCCCCCUCCUGUGGGGAGAGGGCACUUGUUUGUCCUCUUUUGCUCAGGGGGCUGGGCCACCUCCCUUGAAAUGGGGCUGACUCAGCAGAGGGAGUGCAGACGGCAGCCCAGCCCACCCAGGCUGCAGCGACCCCAGUGGGAGGCCCACCCGCCCCACGGCCAUGGGCUCCAGUGAGCCCCCAAAGUCUGGCUCCAGCACCAGGAAGUGAGAGGCAGCAGAGGGAAGCAGACAGGACGGGAGACCCUCCCCACCCCCCACACACCCCCCUGCAAUGAUGGCAUGCUUAAAGGCAUGGAGGCUGCCUCCAAGAAGACGUGUGAGAUUGUAAAUGUGCAUCACAAGCGCCUCCCUGCACCUAGGAUGAUGGCGGCAGAUAGAGGCAGUCCCCUCAGCCUACCUGGACCCAGGGAGAAUCACACCCCCUCCCACGAAUGUCCCAGGCUCUAACUCCCUUUCACGUCUGGCUGCCCUCGCCCACCGUGGCCUACCUGCUGCCUCAGCCACAGCCGCUAGUGUCCCUUCCCAGAGGGCAGCAUUCACCUGCCCCCACCUCCUGCUUCUCUCAAGCCAUAUCCAGACAACCUUGGGCACAGUGUGAGGUGGAGACGUUUCCCAGGAAGUGUGGGCUUUUUUAUUCUCAUCUGCCAUAAUGCAGUCUGGCCCCUAUGUUUCUGUUGGAGAAGCUGGGGCUGGCGGUUCUCUGGCUGGAAAGUGCAUUGUACCCCACAACUCCCCACGGCCUCCCAGGCCUAAGAAGCUCUCCAGGUAAGGGAUGGCUUGUCCAGGUAGGCAGGACAAGCCAUCACUGGGCCCACAGUCAGGUGAACAGAAAUCCACCUCCAGUCAAAAACAGGCCAGGUGUGGUGGCUUACCCCUCUACUCCCAGCACUUUGGGAGGCCAAGGCUGGAGGUUCAUUUGAGGCCCAGGGUUUGAGACCAGCUAUAGACACAUUGCAAGACCCUGUGUCUAUUAAAAAAAACAAACAAACAAAUAAGCGGGCCAGGCGUGGUGGCUCAUGCCCGUAAUCCCAGCACUUUGGGAGGCUGAGGUUGGGGGAUCACCUGAGGUCAGGAGUUCAAGUCUGGGCUGACCAACAUGGUGAAACCCUGUCUCUACUAAAAAUACAAAAGACAUUAGACAGGCUUGGUGGUGGGUGCCUGUAAUCCUAGCUACUCACGAGGCUGAGACAGGGGAAUCACUUGAACCCAGGGGGCGGAGGUUGCAGUGAGCCGAGAUCGUGCCAUUGCACUCCAGCCUGGGCAACAAGAGCAAAACUCCAUCUAAAAAAAAACAAAGAAGAGAAAAUAAGAAAAACAGAUUAGCAAAUUAGCUGGGCCAGGCACAGUGGCUCACACCUGUAAUCCCAGCAAUUUGGGAGGCCAAAGCAGGCGAAUCACUUGAGGCCAGGAGUUCAAGACCAGCCUGGCCAACAUGGCGAAACCC
rnacentral:lncRNA from 1 species